rnacentral:rRNA from 1 species
CGCCAGACUCCUACGGGAGGCAGCAGUGGGGAAUAUUGGGCAAUGGGCGCAAGCCUGACCCAGCAAUGCCGCGUGAAGGAAGAAGGCUUUCGGGUUGUAAACUUCUUUGACAGGGGAAGAGCAGAAGACGGUACCCUGAAAACAAGCCACGGCUAACUACGUGCCAGCAGCCGCGGUAAUACGUAUGGUGCAAGCGUUAUCCGGAUUUACUGGGUGUAAAGGGAGCGCAGGCGGCGCGUUAAGCCUGGUGUGAAAGCCCGGGGCCCAACCCCGGGACUGCUCUUGGAACUGCGUGGCUGGAGUGCAGGAGGGGCAGGCGGAAUUCCUGGUGUAGCGGUGAAAUGCGUAGAUAUCAGGAGGAACACCGGUGGCGAAGGCGGCCUGCUGGACUGCAACUGACGUUGAGGCCCGAAAGCGUGGGGAGCAAACAGGAUUAGAUACCCCCGUA